rnacentral:rRNA from 1 species
CCUACGGGAGGCAGCAGUGGGGAAUAUUGCACAAUGGGGGAAACCCUGAUGCAGCAACGCCGCGUGAAGGAUGACGGUUUUCGGAUUGUAAACUUCUUUUCUUAGUGACGAAGACAGUGACGGUAGCUAAGGAAUAAGCAUCGGCUAACUACGUGCCAGCAGCCGCGGUAAUACGUAGGAUGCAAGCGUUAUCCGGAUUUACUGGGUGUAAAGGGAGCGCAGGCGGGACUGCAAGUUGGAUGUGAAAUACCGUGGCUUAACCACGGAACUGCAUCCAAAACUGUAGUUCUUGAGUGAAGUAGAGGCAAGCGGAAUUCCGAGUGUAGCGGUGAAAUGCGUAGAUAUUCGGAGGAACACCAGUGGCGAAGGCGGCUUGCUGGGCUUUAACUGACGCUGAGGCUCGAAAGUGUGGGGAGCAAACAGGAUUAGAUACCCUGGUAGUCCACACUGUAAACGAUGAUAGCUAGGUGUGGGGGGUCUGACCCCUUCCGUGCCGGAGUUAACGCAAUAAGCUAUCCACCUGGGGAGUACGACCGCAAGGUUGAAACUCAAAGGAAUUGACGGGGGCCCGCACAAGCAGUGGAGUAUGUGGUUUAAUUCGAAGCAACGCGAAGAACCUUACCAGGUCUUGACAUCCGAUGCAUAACACAGAGAUGUGUGAAAUCCUUCGGGACAUCGAGACAGGUGGUGCAUGGUUGUCGUCAGCUCGUGUCGUGAGAUGUUGGGUUAAGUCCCGCAACGAGCGCAACCCCUAUUGUUAGUUGCUACGCAAGAGCACUCUAGCGAGACUGCCGUUGACAAAACGGAGGAAGGUGGGGACGACGUCAAAUCAUCAUGCCCCUUAUGUCCUGGGCUACACACGUAAUACAAUGGCGGUCAACAGAGGGAAGCAAAGCCGCGAGGCAGAGCAAACCCCUAAAAGCCGUCUCAGUUCGGAUUGCAGGCUGCAACUCGCCUGCAUGAAGUUGGAAUUGCUAGUAAUCGUGGAUCAGCAUGCCACGGUGAAUACGUUCCCGGGCCUUGUACACACCGCCCGUCACACCAUGAGAGCCGGGGGGACCCGAAGUCGAUAGUCUAACCGCAAGGAGGACGUCGCCGAAGGUAAAACUGGUGAUUGGGGUGAAGUCGUAACAAGGUAGCCGUAUCGGAAGGUGCGGCUG